rnacentral:lncRNA from 1 species
CUCAGCAGCUCCCAGGCUUUAUCUGAGUGUAGUGUUGCACACGUAUGGAAAAUACUGGUUCUGGUACCAGGUGGGACCAGGUGGCCAGCAGUGCACCAGGCCAUCACCGAGUCCUCAGGAGGUGUAUGAUAAAGAGAGCACAGCUGUAAGCGGACGAUUACAAUUCAGGCAGGACUGCCCCAUCCACCCACACCUGAUUCUGGAAGGUCUUUCCUCAGCCUGAGAGAUCCAAAGGACUCAAGACUCACCACAGCAGCUGCCAGUUGUGCUGUCUCUCCCUGGCUGCCACCUCCUGCAGAACACUCCUCACCCUGUUCUGGUAAACCCCUGGGAGAUGAGGAAGACUGGAGGC